UCUUCUUUUUUUUUAUUUUUUUUCU
rnacentral:misc_RNA from 1 species